CUGAAAGCAUUGCAGGAGAACGUGAUACGCGGGGCUGCUGAUAAUUUGAGAGCAUUCAACCUACGAAUUCGCGGGUUGAUGAAUACCCUGAAUAAAAGGAUACACCCCCGAUUAAAGGGGUGCAACAUUGAACCAGCCCUAAUACCUCGCCUCGAGGCCCAGUUUUCCGCUCAUACUUAAGUAAUGGAUAGUUAUCUCAACCAGUUUGAUGGUAGAUGUUAUUGUAUACUGGUCUUGAUACCAGUUAACAGGCGUGUUGAGUUUUUGGCAUCAAGCCCCUCAACCCACCCGCGAAUUUGUUGGGAUGUUAUACGGCGAUUCAUACCGGAUAACAACAAGCGACCAAAACGGUUGUAGCUGAGAAAUCAAUGAAAUCAGCAUAGUUGGUGCAUUGAUGUAACUUACAAUUUAGAAGUGGCAAAAAAAGAAGGUUGAGACUCUACAUGGCAAAACGUCAAAACUCUCGAAUAUCAAACCGCUCAGUUGGGAUUCUCUGACGUCAAACGGUCUGCUUCUCCACUUCUUUCAGCAUCGUUAAUCCUUUCUACAAUCAUUCCUUGAAUUUCUUUCUCUCGAUCUUAUCGAAAGCUCUUUUUACUAUACUAAAGUCACGUCUAAUCCGAGGCCGGAAACCUUUCCACAAAUAUUCUGAGAGAAUCAUAACUGAAAAUGGGCGAACCAACGCGCUCCUUACAGAGUAACACGUUGCUUCCUGACGAGCCCACCGCGCAGACGUUGUUCAAUACCAUUCGCAGGAGCAUUCUGGACACAAACCACUCCAUCGACUUAGCCUUUCAAAACAUCGCCCCAACAUCAGGGUCCCCGAUGGUAGCUUCCCUCGCUGAAGACCC
rnacentral:sRNA from 2 species